rnacentral:snoRNA from 1 species
GCAGUGCUGUGUGCACAGUUUGUCUGUGUUUUGGGGGGCAGCUCGCUUGCGUCUUGCAUUCUGGCUGUUCCUUUCAUACAAAUCCUGCGGCCGCAGAUCAACCUGAGAUCAUAGUACUGGUCUAGUGACGUCCCCUGGACAAUACCUGCACUGGCCAGCCUCCAAUCCCUCAGACACAU